rnacentral:lncRNA from 1 species
GAGCAGCCUCCCCUCAGCCUCCUCUUCUCUGGGCUGAACAAACCCAGCGACCCAAGCCACUGCGCACACACCUUGCCCUAUGGACCUCUCCAUCUUUGUUGCCUUCAAUCUCUUGUGAUAUGAUAGUGGUAUGAGAUUAUGUUUUUGGAUCUACUAAUUGAGUUUUACAAGCUUGUUUGGGGGGGUUUGUUUACAGAGUUGUUCAAACGAUAAUACUGUUUGUGCUUACUGCCCAUGUGUAAAGACGAAUAUUACAGUGAGGUGGAUGCAGUCAGAGCAGCAGAACAGAAGCAAGCUGUAAUUUGUCUUGCCUAGGUUUCGGUAAGACCUAAGCAGCAGUGUGAGUAUUGGAGACAGAGGAAGCAGAACUGGAAACAAGCAGUGUACAAAACUGAUCCCUGUCCAAAACUAGCUGGGGAGGGCAGUGGUAGAAAGCUUUUGUUUCUAAUCUGUUCGUUUCCCUCAUGCAGGCGCCUGUGCAGCCCUGUGAUUAACCAAGCACUCAAGUACUGCAACAACCAAGGAUGGAGCUUAAGGCUCUCCCUAAGCCUGUGCUGCUGCUGGAGAAAGGCGUGGCCGAAUGUCAGGUUAGGGUGGGAAUCACGCAGAAGAAUUCACAUGUUAUGUAAUGUUUUGUUGUAGGGUGAAUUUGGAAACAGCACUGGGGUGUCAGUGCAUUUUGAGUACACAGUAGCUAAGUAAGUGAGCCUUUGUUUUGGAAGAGGUGGUCUUCAUGUGAUAACAGGCAAAUUUGACUCAGUCUGAGCUGUGCCUAAUCCACAACGUGGGGCUGUUCCCACCAGCUGCUAUCUCACCACUUCUCUUGCACAGAAAGUACAGGUUGUGCAGUUUUAUGGUGGUUACCACCUGCUGAGCCACUGAAAGACUGAUCAAUUUUGUUUUCUUUUCUAGUUUCCGUCCCUGUGGAAAUCAGUAAUCUCAAAUUCAACUCUUGGCUGCGUGAUUGCCACAUCAGGUAUACAGGAAGGGUGAGCGUGGGAUCACAUCAUGUCGCAGUAGCCUGCAGUCAGAACAGAUGGAGCACAGCAUGAAGCUGCACUUCGGUAGUUGGGGACAUCUGGGAGGUAACCAGAAAAUCACGGCCUUUGGUUUUCCCUCAUUUGCUACGGUUCUUAAUCCUUUUGCAUUUGUUUUAGUAUAUAAAAUGCGUCAGCUAACAGAGCAUUCUCUCUAUAAUCCCAUUUGUUGUCAAAGGAGUGCCUCAAAUUGUUCUGCCUAGGCAGCCCCAUGAAGUGGCAAAUGCUUUGUUUUCUUGGAAAUAAUUUGCCUGAGGUUAAAUGCAAAUAUAAAUCUCAGAGGGAAAUGAAAGUUCCCAGGUGGCUGUCACAUGGGCAAAUGAAGAACAUCACUCCAGUGCUUUCUGCUGGGCUUCUAUUGAUGGGUUUUUAUAAAUCACUGGAGUGAUAACUGGAGCCCGGGCUUCCUUGGUUAUUUAAAGCAUCACGGAUGCUUUACAGUUUUAAGCAGCGCACUGUGCUUUGUUUUUAAUUUUUACAGAAAGUCAGUUGUCAUUAUCCAAAUGUUCCAGUUCUGGUGGUUGCGUGUGUCCCAACAUCUGCAGCUGCUGUUGGAGCUGUUGCUCUUUUGGGAGUACCCCUCGCAGCCCUCUGCCUUGUUUCCCCGUGGCACAGUAAUACAGAGGUUGUGGCAGUUAGGAGCAGUGAUGACAUCCAGUGGCUGCACUAUGAGAUCAUGAGUGUUAUUGCACACAAAUGCAACCUUUUGCUAAAAAUGUCAAUCAGUGCUGUCUGUAUUAUCUAUCAGUGUGACCCUUUAUGCUACUGCUAUGCUAAUGGCCACUCGUAUGAGGGGGCAGCUGAUAAAGUCCAUGCAUUGCAUUGGCCUUGUCUAAUGCAAAUUGGAGGAUUAAAAAAAUGGCACAACUGUGCAUAUAUGGAAUACAGCUUCUGGAAGAUGCUCUGCUACAUGGGCAUUUCUGCUGGGAGACCAAGCAAAAGCUAGUUGUAUUGCAGAAUGCCUGACAGGAACGUGAAUGUGGUUUUUGGCACACUUUGUAUAUAAAGCCCAGCAGUUAUGCUCUGUAAUGAUUGCUUAUACAGUUGCUGGAAACCACCAUAGGCUUUGCUGCAUGGGCCCACCUUUCCUCUCCCCAAGCUGUGGGCUCCCACACCCUGGUGUGUCAUUGCACUUUGCUGCUGGGGCUGCCUGGGCAGGGCAGGAGUGCCCUCAGAGGUGUUCUGCAAAGUGAUGUUAUUUAUACACUCUGCGUUGACCCAAACCACCACUCACCUGCAAAGGCACUGCCUGGGAUAGGCCAGAGAAAGGAAAGGGCUGUGUGGGAGAUGAACAUGGAUACCUCCUGUCACCAGUGUGAGUGCCUUGUGAAAUCCUGCUUUUGCUCACAGUACUGAGCUGGCUAUCUUCACAGCUGCACUGGUGAGCUUUCCUGUGGCCACUGCUCCAUGAGCAUUUCUAGGGCAGCAGAGGCAGUUCCACCCAUCACUCCUCCUGAAACCACUUACUGAGAGUGCUUAUUUUUUCCAUCUGCACCAUGAGCAUUCCUUCUUUUGACCAGAGCUGUAAAGCAAAACUUAUGCUUGGUGAUGGAGCAAGGAACAUCUCUGAUGCAACUGAGUUUAUUGACAAAGUGUGUGGCUUGUCCUCAACUCUUAAGCAGGGAGAAGAUUAACACAUACAUCAUCACCUUCAGCAGAGAUGCAGCCAGCCUCUCCUAAAAGCUCUACAUAAAAACUUGGCUAAGCAUCAAGACAUUAUCAGAGGCACACACUGUGCUGGUGCAGGAGCAGGACCUAAAAGAGAGGUGAUGAAAUGAGAGGGGGACUGUGAAAACAACCUUUAGUUGAGGCCUGAGCAUGGCAGAAAGGAAUUUGUCUCUUAAGCAAAAUGAGGUUGGAGCAGCAGGAGGGAUGUGCUGAAGGACAUGUGAAGCCUCAGCUGCAGGAGCAGUGGUUGAGUUACUGAGUGUAGAAAGGAGAAAAUAAGGGCCUGGUUUCCUGGGUCCUGGUAUGUACCUGGAGCCACUCCAUCCUGCUGCAUCCCCACCCAGGGUGGAGUUCCUGGAGUUACACUGCUGAAAAAGAGAGCUUUGGAGGAGCAGUUGCUGGUGGCAGCACGGCUGCAGGACGGAGAGCUGCAUCUUUAGUGCUGUGUCAGUGCUUGGAGCAUCAGGAGGUAGUGAACGCCCUGCCUCACUCCCUGCCUUGAUGAGGGACAAACACUCAUUAGAUCUCCAAAUACAAAGGGAGCACUGCUAAUUGACAGCUGUGUGUAGUGUUCGCUUCUUGAGCAUAUGAGAUUGCUCACUGCUGUUGAGUUUUGAGACUGUUUUAGGUUCUCCAGAGUGCUGUUGUACAUCUCAUUGCUGACAGGAUGCUCGUUACACAGGAGCUGCUUACCAGCACACUCAGCCCAUCACAGCUUUCACUUACACCUCUUUCAACACGUGGACAGUUGUAUAGAGAAUCAGAGAAUUACUCAGGUUGGAAAGGACCUCAAAGAUCAAGUCCAGCCACAGCCUAACCAUAGUACCCUAACUCUAACAACCCUCUGCUAAAUCAUAUCUCCGAGCACCACAUCCAAACGCCUCUUAAACACAUCCUGCUGUCUAACUUAAAACUGGCUGCUGUUGAACUCAUCUGCAAAGUGGACUCGACUUAGGGAACAUGCACUGCUCGGACUCCUCAAACAUCUCUUCUAAUUAAAAGGGUGCAGAAAAUGGAGGAACGUGGCAACAACCCAAUGGCCUUACGUGUCAGCCCAGGAAGGAAAACCACUACAGCAUGGAUGCAUGGAGCUGCCUUUGCUGGGAACCCCUGUGGCUGAAGCACGGAGUUCACCGUCGCGUGAUUUCCAUAUGAACGAAAACUUCAGCUGAGCUCCUUGCCGCGUGCCUUCGGCCAAACGGCGCUCUGAAGAGAGAUUUGCCCUCCGACACUCCGGCGCUUCACCCACCAAGUAGCGCCGCAGAGCCGAGGCGGUGCGCGGCUCGAGGUCUCCCCCUGCAGGGACAGCGCGGCGCAGCUCCGGCACAGGGACUGCGCAGGCUGCGCCCUCCGCGCUGCGCGGUGGUGGAGGAGCUGCUGCUCACCGCGCAGCCUCUGACAGUACCUGACGGCUGCUUGGCCGUGUCCCCACACCGCAGGGCUGCUGCAAUCCAAGCAAACGACACUCUGCACAUCACAGUUAUUCGGGGAAAGUCACCUCAUAGCAGUCAGUGUAAAGCCUAAUAUUGUACCUAUUGAUUAAACAAGGGUAACUAAGGGGAAGAGGUAACAGCGUUCACCUUCCUAGAACAUAUGGAGGGAAAGUGACAUGCUGGCUGCUUGGUGAGUGUAUAUAAUUUCAUUCCAGCAGCAAAUAGCUCUGCACGCUGCACAGCCCGUCUGGACCCAUGGGCUCUCUCUUACUCUGCAGCCGUUCCCACCUUCUGACACGGCAGGUGCCCACAGCAGGGCACACAAAACAAACCACCCCAUGACAGAAAGGUCAUUUUUGCACCACUAAGUAACACAGGAAAAAAAAAUUCAAAGCCUUUCUUUCACCUUUUUGUCUCUUUCUGUGUUUUAUAACUUAUAUGAUGUACAUCCACCACUUCAGUAACAUAUAAUAUAAACAAAGCAGCUGUUUUGGUGGUGGUGGUGUUUUUUUUUUUGAAUGGGGGGGUGAAUGCCCUCCAAAUACUUUAACUUCUGCUUAAAAGCCAACCUCUGAGUCUGUCUACAGAAAUGGGCUUAAAGAGGCACACACACAAUCAGAUUCAAAAGAUUAACAACAGUCAUCUUUAUUCCACACAAGACAUAACUACAGAACACCCGCAAUCCUUCUGGUCGCAUUCUGUGGCAACCUGAAACAGGAGACACACCAACCUACUUUGCAAACUAUGAACCAAUCAAGGAAAGAGUGAUGGCACUGCUAAAGAUUAAGCGUUCCUUCUAAACAAAUGAACUAAAAGGUUUAAAAGGUGACUUAUACCCUUGACGUUUAGCUUUGUCUUCGCGUGUUCUUACUUUGCAACAAAGGCAAUAAAAAAAAGCCUGCUUUAGAACAGCAAGGAGGAAUAAGCAGUAAAUAUAAUCAUACAAAGCAGCAAUAGCUCAGUAUGGCCUCAUGCGGCUCGAAGGUGGCGGUGCGCGGUUGGGAGGCGUGAUGGCUAUAUCCAAGUAGUCUCCUAUCUGGAAUUUCUGGGACUGCAAUGUCAUAGAAUCAUCUGUGCCCUUCCUGCCCGACAUGGUACUGCCGAUCUCCUUCACCCUGUAGCCCGGUCGCUUGAGAUCUGUAAAAACAAUUGCAAAAUUGAAGUGCGUGCCCUUCUUCCGUGCUUCUGGGUACACCUCCUUCACCAAACUGGUGAGCUCCUUCAGAGUUGCGUCCAUCCAGGUGUAGAUCUGCAGCUCGCUGGAGGGCACGUUGCCGCGGGAGAACUCGUCCAUGCGGUGGUGCCGCCCGUUGUUGGUGGUGAAGACGCGGAGCAGCAGCGGACACGUCUUCUCCCGGUCGAUCGGCUUCUCCGGUUCCUUCUUGAUCUCCUCCUGCGUGACGCGCGACUCCACCGCCAUCUUGUCCCGCAGCAGACGGCCCGGAUGUCUCGAGGCGCGCGCACAGUUCUCGCGAUAGUGGAGUGAAGGCGGCGGUGCGCGCAUGCUUGCUGGCCGCUGCUGGGCGCGCGGGAGAGGUGCGAGGGCGGCUGAGGUGGCGGGUGGUCUGCGUCGGCUGAGGGCGAUGGCGGCUCGAACCGCGCCGUGCUGCCAGGCGGGAGUAACGUAGCGCUCUGUGGUGGCUGUUGGGCCCCGGCGGUUGGCGUCAGCCCGCGUUCCAGCCGAGUCUGUGCCGACUGCGGUAAUGCUGGGUGGGUAGAGCUGCCCAGCGGGUCCCCUCCCGAUAAUCCAGAUCCAGAUGUACGGAUCUGAGGUAGUGUUGGGUUGACAGAGGAGAGCUUUAGGUCAGAUGUGAGCAGGAAAGGCUUUACUCAGAGGGCGGUGAGACGCCGGCACAGCUGCCCAGGGAGCUGUGGGUGCCCCGUCCCUGCAGGCCCUCAGGGCCAGGUUGGGUGGGCCCAGGCUGACGUGGUGGGUGUGGGGCUGGGUGGGCUCUGAGCUCCAUUCCAGCCCAAACCGUGAUGUGAUCUGAGGGAAAUACUGCGCUCCUCGGGCUGGUUUGGUGCAAUGUGCUGUAGGCUUCUUGCAGUGCUCAGCGUUGGGCACUCUGUUUACAUUCUGUAAACUGUUACCCAUGGUUUCUGUUGCAUGGAAAAGCUUUUACUGAGCUACUGAUGCUUCUUGGAAAAAGGCACUUCCUUCUGUAUGGAGAAAGGCUUAAACAGCUGCCUAAUGUAAAUAAAUGAAAUAAUCAGCCAGUGCAGCUACUGGUUGAUUCAAAUAAAUUAGAAGGGGGUAAAUUGUAUUUAGAAUUUCACUUCCCGUAAUAUUACAUGUUGGAAAGAUCAAGAACAUAUGCUUUCCAUUUCUGGGCUUGGCUUCUCCAAGAAUAGAGUCUUGUAUUAGGUUAAAUUUAAGUCUGAUGUUUUGUCGUAGACUAUGAGGGUGUGAGAGAUGUGUGUUCCUGAUGUGAUAACUUAAAAAAAAGUGAGCUAUUGUCUCAAAAGGGGGAAUGCUCGUUUGUUUUCAGAUAAUUUAGACUUAAAUUAUUUCACAAAGUGUUGUGAAUUUCUUCAAGAGUAAAACAAAAAUUCUGUAAAAUGAUGUGAAAAUACAAUCACAGAAUUGUUUGAGUUGGAAGGAACCCUUAAAGGUCAUCUGGUCCAACUCCCUGCCAUGAACAGGGACACCUACAGCUGCAUCAGGUGCUCAGAGCCCCAUCCAGCCUGACCUGGACUGUCUCCAAAGACAGGGCAUCCACCACCUCUCUGGGCAACCUGUGCCAGUGCCUCACCACCCUUAUUGUAAAAAACUUCUUUAUGUCCAAUCUAAAUCUUCC